GAGGAGGGGGGAGGAGGAAGGAAAGGAGGAGGGGAGAGGAGGAGGAGGAGGGGAGGAAGAGGAGGAAGCCAACAAGUGUCCUCAGCGUUUUAGCAUCCCAAACAUACCCUAAGAGUCUCCAGCAGAGAUGGAGUCAUUAGCUCUGACAUCAGGAUCCGGGUGGGAGUCACACCACGCUUAAUCCUUCUCAAAGAGGUUAGCCUUCGGGUAUCAAUUUCUCAGAAGGAAAGAAAGCACAAUUGAUAUUUAAAAAUUAGGCAAACCUAGACUUCUUUACAGAGUUCCAAGGGCACAGUGGGAACCAAGCAACGCCUUCUCUCUGAAAAGGCGGGCGUCACAGGGCAUACAUGAAUUAGGACGGAGUUUCACAUAGCAUCUCUGGGAGCUUUGGGGGAACUGACUUUUGAGUGAAGACCAAGCUAAGAAGGGCGAGUGUGUGCGCAUCUUGGAUUUUAGAGAAUUAAGAACCAUAUGCCAGCUUUUUGUCACCUCUGUGCUACUUAAGGUGGAUUCUUAAAAAAAAAAAAAAAAAGAAUGAACUGUGCCUUGGCUGUGACAUUCAGACUUCACAGAGGUCAUGUGAGAGCCAGGAGAUUCAUUCCUAGACCUAUCCCAUGCCAGGAGUCUGUAUCUGUUGCACAGAUCAAACCAGUAUCAAAGGACAAGGCUGCUUCUUCACCAGCCUGGGUUUUUUGUGCUGGGCUGACGAUGAACUGUGUAGUAUAAAUAGGUCACACGACUACUGACUAGACUAAAGGGAAAAUAUCGAAACGUUCUUGUGUCAGAUAGAUGAUAAGCACCAGAAAGGCAAUGUUUACAAAACCCACCUGUCCCAGAAUGAAACCCCAGGUGCCACUCAGUUUCCAAGGCAGGACGGAUGGUUAGCAAGCUCAAGUCACUAUGGGGGCGGGCUCCUUGUACACCGUUCCCUGGGGAACUGAGGCACAAGAAAGUUCCAGGCCGAUGAAAUGGACCCCGAGUGAGGAGAUGAAGCAGACGAGGGUGCCGUGUAAGUAUCUUGCCUUCCUCCAGAACCUGGGGAACCGGCCGUUUCCACAUUCCAUCUAUAUCUCUGCUGAUUCGAGGCCCCUGGGGCCAGGAGUGAGACAACAGCAAGACAGCACCAGAGAGACCCAGGUGUUCAAUCGCACAGCCUGUGGGGCACACUUCACACCGGAACGGCAGCAGGCAGCCAGCACUGUUGUGCAGUGGAAUACAGUCACUAUUUAAAGAUUUCAUAGUUGUGGAUUGUCUGUCUACCAAAGUUUACCUCUGGUAAUCAAGACAGCUGUGCCUUCUUUAUGGGCAUCUGUGGGACGUUUAUAGACGUUGAGGCUGCCUCGGACCACAUAGAAAAUGCCACAGACUUUCAGAGGCAGAAACGACACAGACGAAGAAGCAUGCUAACCACAGUGAAUAAAAUUACGCUUUGUUCAAAG